AGUGAACGUUGGCGGCGUGGAUUAGGCAUGCAAGUCGAGCGAGAACCGUAGCAAUACGGGGACAGCGGCGAAAGGGACAGUAAUGUGUAGGUACCUACCCCGAGGUCUGGGAUAGCUGCGGGAAACUGCAGGUAAUACCGGAUAAUGUCUUCGGACCAAGGUGUGAUUCCACCUUGGGAGGGGCCUCAUCCUAUUAGCUAGUUGGCGGGGUAAUGGCCCACCAAGGCAACGAUGGGUAGCGGGUGUGAGAGCACGACCCGCGUCAUUGGGACUGAGAUACUGCCCAGACACCGACGGGUGGCUGCAGUCGAGGAUCUUCGGCAAUGGGCGAAAGCCUGACCGAGCGACGCCGCGUGCGGGAUGAAGGCCUUCGGGUUGUAAACCGCUGUCGUAGAGGAGGAAAUGCAGGGGGGUUCUCCCUUCUGUUUGACCUAUUCUAGGAGGAAGGACGGGCUAAGUUCGUGCCAGCAGCCGCCGUAA
rnacentral:rRNA from 1 species